UGUACACACCGCCCGUCACACCAUGGGAGCUGGUAAUGCCCAAAGUCAAUUUAGCUAACCUCGGAGGUCGACUGUCUAAGGCAGGACUGGUGACUGGGGUGAAGUCGUAACAAGGUAUCCCUACGAGAACGUGGGGAUGGAUCACCUCCUUU
rnacentral:rRNA from 1 species